UAGAAAUUUCAUUGUGUAGCCAAAGAAACCUCGUAUUUUAAGCAAAUGUAUUGUUCCACAGCCUCAGGGGUGUGAGUUCCAGUCCUGGGCACUAUUUUCUCUGCUUUUCUCUCUCCCGCUUUUCAGCAUUUCAUCUAACUAUUGUAGGUAUUCGGUAUGAUCUUUCCCCAAAUUGUUUGUCCCUAGUCCCCCCUCUGAUAUGCUCUGUUCUUUAAUUUGUCUUGUGUUAGGUUUGGGUCAGCAAGUCUUUUGUGCUGGAUCCCUGGGCCUGCCUCUCUCUCUCUCUCUCUCUCUCUCUCUCUCUCUCUCUCUCUCUCUCUCUCUCUCUCUCUCUCUCUCUCUUUCUCUCUGUGUGUGUUUCUUUUGUUACUUUCCACCCUAACACUGCAGAAAUGAAACACACAUGCCGCGUUGUCGCCUCAUAUUUUCAGAUGUUUUUCACACUAUUGUCUUCUCCAGCCCGUUGAAAGUGCAAAGUGGAAACACAUGCACCCGAAAACAAUUUUUUUUGAAAGGGGACGGUCCUAGGAUGGAGAGUAACCUCGUGAAUAAAGAUAAGCAAUAAAUAUAAUAUCAGAUUUAUAACGUGCAUUGAACAAUCUUGAUUAGCACUAAGGUGAGCCUUGGUGAGCUUUUUAUCAUUUCCAUGUGUCUGGACUACAAGAAGAAAUCAAUGGGGGGGGGGGACUCUAUAAAUCAGCGUUCAUGUCAAGACAAAUCAAAAUAAUGCCUCUAUUAUUUCAAUCAAUAAACCAUUUUUAUCCCCAGCAUCUGAUACACACAGUGUGUGUCCAUCUGUUUGUGUUUGGAACUGGCAGCUUUGCCUUAGACCAAAACAAACCUUUCAAGUCAUGUCAAUGAAAUUAAAAUGUUAAAAAGCAAAAAUAAACGCGUCCUCCUUCAUUCCUGUCUAGCCAUUCUAGGCUCCCCCUUUUAAAGCCCAUUUUGCCCAGAUCGGUAAGAGAGCCUUGAAAACUGUGCAGACGACAACCAUGUGGCUGAGAAGCAACUUAGAAAGGGGAUUUCAAGAGAAACUGAAAGCUCCCACCAGCAACAAACCGAGCCAGGGAAGCCUCCUGGGUUGCUGUUCCCAAACACGCCCAAGGACCGCCUACAAAGGUUGAAGGCAGGUUGGACUUGGGACUCCGGUUGGCUUCUGAAAACGCAAAAUCUCCCUUUCUCAUCAACGCCACCAAGAUCCUUCCAGCAGCUUCCCGGAGAGGAUUUCGAACUCCAUUAUCUUACUGUCUGAGGAGCAAGCAAAUUCUCGUUUCCAGAGGCUUUUCCCCUCUCCAGCUCGGGUCUCGGUCUUCAGGAGCCCAGGAAUAAAUCUAAGGUCCCUCCACGCCACCCCAAGCAUUCGGAUUGGAGGAUCAUUAAGACCUUCCCUGGUUCGGUUCACUGUUUCACACUCACUCUGCCCCACAAGCUAGCAAGGUUUCCUGCGAUCUUAUUCUUUGCUGUAACCCCAUUUCUAAAGUCCACCGGAGACAGACUGAGAGCUGCGGUCGGGUGAGAAGCUUGGAAAAGCCAUCCUUGAGGAUAUUGUUCUCGAAAGUAACACCUCCGGGCCUCGGAUGUAUAAACACACCAAGUGCAUUUCCCAGCCUUUUCCCUUUACAGACUUUCAAAUGAAGAAGAAAAAAAAAAAUCCUUUUUGCGUUAUUGGUACGGACGCAACAAGGAGCAAACUUGGUGCUGGCGCGCCUCCUAGUGUCACCAAAGGGAAGAGAGGCCAUAAAGACAAAUGCUUCGAGUUAGAGCAGCAUGAUGCAGUCUGUUGGCCACUAAGAAGGCCUAGAGCUGUGGGGCUGCUGGUUUCCUGCAUAGGAUCGCUAACACUCCUCAUGAGGCUAUGACUGCUUAUGCUGAAAAUGCACACGCACAUACGUCCACGGCUGCGCCCGGGUUCCCAGUCAGGACUUCCUAUAUUUCAAUUGACUUCCGAUAUUCCAACUCGAACUAUAGAAUCAAAAGUCAUCUUCUCUCAAAUAAGUAACUCAAUGUAGGGAGAGUGGAGAGCCCAUAGUUGAAAAUUUUCUGAUUUUUACAAAGUAAUAUCAGACUAGAACCCAAUUUUUUAAAAUCAGUUCGUUUAAC
rnacentral:sRNA from 1 species